CUUCUCUUCACUAAACUUUAGUUAGUAGUUGGUCCCAGUCAGUAACACUCUGGGAGGGCUCAGGCCACAUCACGAAAUGUGACAGGAUAGCCUUGAACUCAUCAAUUGCUGGGGGCACCUCAAACUCAACUCCAAAAUUGAUCUAAUGAACUUUCCCAAACCACAUUCCCUUCUUGCAUUUCUGAGAGAAUGGAUUCCCAUUCAUCUGACUACAGUGCUACCCUGAAAGCAGAUCCAGAGACUAAGAUUCACCUGCAGGUGAUUCAUUUGCAAGGUAAGCUGUCAUCAGUUGGAGGUAAGCGGAAGACAGUAGAGAGUACAGAGCCCUGGACUGUGACUCAGAGGAUGAGCACCAGAUCCAGUUUGCUGUGCCACAGUGUCCUGAAGAUUUUCCUCAGAUAAUCUUUCAUCUCUUUGUUCCUGAGACUAUAUAUUAGAGGAUUACAGAGUGGUGUUAUCACAGAAAAGAACAAGUGGAUUUUUAUCUGAGAUCUACAACUUAUGAAGAAUACAAAUGAUGUAUAUUCUUUUCUACUCUUCAUGUAUGGACUAGAGGGGCUUGCACAUAAGAAAAAAAUGGCUGAGACCCACAGGAACAAAGAAACAGGACAGGAGUUAGAUGCAGAGAAGAGAUUUCAACAAAAGUUUGGAAAAGAUGCUAACGGUAGCAUAUGAGUCACAGACAGAACAUUGGCACCUUUGUUUAAGAAACUGAAUGUUAAUGUCACAUCUGCCUUUGGAGAUUACAAAUGAAAUGGCUACCUUUCUACUGGAACCCUGACCAGAAGUCUGCCAGUUAGUAAGCUGGCUUAAGAGAUCAAUCUAAAAUUUACAUAAGGCUUUUGAAAAAAAGAAAAAAACUCAAGAGAAUUGACAUCUGGUGUUAAAAAACAAAAAAUCAUACAAAUGACUGAUAUGUAUCAUUUUCCUUAUUAAAUAUGGAAGAAAGGGGAGGAGGAUGCAGAAAUGGUUGGCUAAAAGCUCCAGAGAAAAACUUAACAGAUUUUAUGAUUUUGCGGAAGUGUGUCAUCAUGGCCAGAAACUGAUCAAUCCACGAAUUAGCUGAAAUGGCAAGAACGAUUAGAGAUACAGUGAGGAGGGUCUCGAGUUCCUCUGAGCCUGAUGAUGAGCCAGGACAGGAAGGGGCCUGGGCCUCCAGGCAGCAGCAUCUCUCCAGGAUGCCCCCAGCCACAGCAUAAGGAAUUCCUACACUUUUGUUAUCUUAAACAAAACCUUCUAGAAUUCCUUCUAACUCUAGGAGACUGAAAUGUAUUUUUCUUUCUUUCAACUGUCUCCUGUCUGUCCCUGACUCCCUCACUCCGUUUUUUAAUGUUUGGCCAUUUAUCUCAUGAGCUUACUAAAAAUAAAUUGUAUACUCAGCAAUG
rnacentral:lncRNA from 1 species